AACGAACGCUGGCGGCAGGCUUAACACAUGCAAGUCGAGCGCCCCGCAAGGGGAGCGGCAGACGGGUGAGUAACGCGUGGGAAUCUACCCAUCUCUACGGAAUAACGCAUGGAAACGUGUGCUAAUACCGUAUACGUCCUUCGGGAGAAAGAUUUAUCGGAGAUGGAUGAGCCCGCGUUGGAUUAGCUAGUUGGUGGGGUAAAGGCCAACCAAGGCGACGAUCCAUAGCUGGCCUGAGAGGAUGAUCAGCCACACUGGGACUGAGACACGGCCCAGACUCCUACGGGAGGCAGCAGUGGGGAAUAUUGGACAAUGGGCGCAAGCCUGAUCCAGCCAUGCCGCGUGAGUGAUGAAGGCCCUAGGGUUGUAAAGUUCUUUCACCGGUGAAGAUAAUGACGGUAACCGGAGAAGAAGCCCCGGCUAACUUCGUGCCAGCCGCCGCAGUAACAC
rnacentral:rRNA from 1 species